rnacentral:rRNA from 1 species
CACGUAGGGCGCAAGCGUUGUCCGGAAUUAUUGGGCGUAAAGAGCUCGUAGGUGGUUUGUUACGUCUGCUGUGAAAACCUAGGGCUUAACCCUGGGCUUGCAGUGGAUACGGGCAGACUAGAGGUAGGUAGGGGAGAAUGGAAUUCCUGGUGUAGCAGUGAAAUGCGUAGAUAUCAAGAGGAACACCAGUGGCGAAGGCGAGUCCCUGGACAAACCCUGACACUGAGGCACGAAAGCCAAGGGAGCAAACAGG